AAAGACUCAAUUUAUAGGUUUUCGUGUCUAACGUUUGACCGUCCGUCUUAUUUGAAAAUAUUAUAAAAAAAAUUAAAAAGAUAAAUCACACAUAAAAUAUUAUUCAUGAUUUAUCAUCUAACAACAAUGAAAAUACUAAUUAUAAAAAAAUUUCAUAUAAGACGGAUAGUCAAACGUUAAACACAAAAACUCAGG
rfam:Oryza glaberrima chromosome 6 Oglab06_0029_9, whole genome shotgun sequence.